rnacentral:rRNA from 1 species
AUUGAACGCUGGCGGCAGGCCUAACACAUGCAAGUCGAGCGAGCGGCGGACGGGUGAGUAAUGUCUGGGAAACUGCCUGAUGGAGGGGGAUAACUACUGGAAACGGUAGCUAAUACCGCAUACCAUCGGAUGUGCCCAGAUGGGAUUAGCUUGUAGGUGAGGUAACGGCUCACCUAGGCGACGAUCCCUAGCUGGUCUGCUAGUAUGACCAUCCACACUGGAACGGAGACACGGUCAAGAGUACUACGAGAGGCAGCAGUGGGGAAUAUUGCACAAUGGGCGCAAGCGUGAUGCAGCCAUUCCGCGUGUAUGAAGAAGGCCUUCGGGUUGUAAAGUACUUUCAGCGGGGAGGCGUUACUCGCAGAAGAAGCACCGGCUAACUCCGUGCCAGCAGCCGCGGGAAUUC